rnacentral:rRNA from 1 species
GCUCAGGAUGAACGCUAGCUACAGGCUUAACACAUGCAAGUCGAGGGGUAGCAGGGUAGCAAUACCGCUGACGACCGGCGCACGGGUGAGUAACACGUAUCCAACCUUCCCAUAACUCGGGGAUAGCCUUUCGAAAAAAAGAUUAAUACCCGAUAGUACUUAAGAAAGGCAUCUUUUUUAAGUUAAAGAUUUAUUGGUUAUGGAUGGGGAUGCGUUCCAUUAGAUAGUUGGUGAGGUAACGGCUCACCAAGUCUUCGAUGGAUAGGGGUUCUGAGAGGAAGGUCCCCCACAUUGGUACUGAGACACGGACCAAACUCCUACGGGAGGCAGCAGUGAGGAAUAUUGGUCAAUGGGCGAGAGCCUGAACCAGCCAAGUAG